rnacentral:tRNA from 1 species
GCACCCGUAGCUCAGUGGAUAGAGCGCUUGCCUCCGGAGCAAGAAGUCGGGCGUUCGAAUCGCCCCGGGUGCGCCA